GGAGCAGCAAAGACCUCAUCGCCCUGGCUCAGAUCUCCAGAGGGCACUGCUGUGAGAGCUGAUUUAGCCCGGAGGACUCUCUCCUCGGCACUCAGGGCUACGCUUGGACCUUGCUGGGAUUCUCCUGCCUCCAAUUUCUGAGCGUUGAGAUUACAGGGGUUGCCAGCAAGGCUGCACCUUCA